rnacentral:misc_RNA from 1 species
CGGCGAGAGAGCGACGGCAAGAGGGGGCCUACUUUCGCCUGGAAAGUAGGUGUCACUCGGCGAACGCGGCUUGUGAAGGCACGCGGACAAGCCCGACCCACUGCGUGCUGGCUCAGAUCGGAGAAGAUACGAGCAGCGAAACUCCUUUCCCCCUCUCCGCACGCACACACGCACGUAGUAUGGGUGAGGAAUGACCAAAGAAGAGAACGAACCCCACAAGUGAGGAGGAAAGGUCGUAUGGCAAGAGCAAGAUAUCAGGAAGGAGCAAGACAAAACAAACAAAAUAUGAAACAUUGGUGGCUGUGCGGGAGGAGGAAGUCGCCUCUGCCCGGCCGUUCACGCACACACACACACACACACACACAUAUAUACACGCACGUGAAUGUGCACGCAUAGAUGCUGGCGCACUCGCGCUCCGUGAAAAGAGCACUGAGCUCGAAUCGCGAGCUCCAUGGCUUCAUGCCUUGGUUUUCCACCCCUUUUUUGUUUUUUUUAUGUCCUUGUCAUGUCGGUGUCGGCACGGAUGCGCGCGGAGCGACACGAUGAUGCAUCGCGUCGUGCGAGACCAUUUCUAGUCUUGUGUGUGUGUGUGUGUGCGUGUUUGUAUGUGUGCUUUUCUCUCUAUCUGUGUGUUUGUAGCUGUGAGCGUGAGGGGGUGUUUCGUUCACCCAGCUGCAUCGACUGUGAGUGAGCGAGCAU